rnacentral:snRNA from 1 species
AAGUUUGUACUUGAUAUAUUGAAUGUCUCUAACCACAUAAAAGUUUCUAGUGAUAGAAUUGAUCAACUAUUCAAAUAACGAAUUACUUUGGCAUUAGACUCAACAACCUUUUACAUAGUCACUAGUAACUAAUAGAUGUAGUAACUAGCCGGCUUUGCAUGCCAUAAUUUACUUUAUCCACUC